rnacentral:rRNA from 1 species
UACCAGCUCUUCGAGUGGUGUGGAUGUUUAUUGGGCCUAAAGCAUCCGUAGCUGGCUGGGCAAGUCCCCUGUUAAAUCCACCGAUUUAAUCGUUGGAGUGCGGGGGAUACUGUUCGGCUAGGGGACGGGAGAGGCAGACGGUAUUUUCGGGGUAGGGGUAAAAUCCUAUAAUCCCUAGAAGACCACCAGUGGCGAAGGCUGUCUGCUAGAACGCGCCCGACGGUGAGGGAUGAAAGCUGGGGGAGCGAACCGGAUUAGAUACCCGGGUAGUCCCAGCUGUAAACGAUGCAGGCUAGGUGUUUGGACGGCCACGUGCCGUUCUAGUGCCGCAGGGAAGCCGUUAAGCCUGCCGCCUGGGGAGUACGGCCGCAAGGCUGAAACUUAAAGGAAUUGGCGGGGGGCACCACAAGGGGUGAAGCUUGCGGUUU